UCUCUGCUCAAUCCUUCAAAAUAAUCAACUUCUUUCAGUUUUCAAAACUUGUUUUUUAUUCAUUUCAAAAAUUUUCGGCUCAUCAAAUGAAGCAAAAUUUGCUGUCUGACUUUUUUCAAAAGCACUAAAAACGCACUUUCUAAGUAAUCAACAAAAAUAGCAAAAUGUGUUCUGGCUGUAGCCCUGGCUGUGGUCCUUGCUGCUGCUCGCCUUGUGUCUGCCCUUGCCGAUAUCUGAAGCGAACAGACUUCUGCUGUAGCUGGCCAUGCCCUUGCAAGGCACAUUGCUACAAUACGCCACCCAAGUGUUGCUGCUAGGUAGCCGCUUGAGAAAUAAUGCAACGGCGCAAACGGCCAGAAUUGUUUUUAAUAGAAUUUAAAAUGCUUUUGGAUUUAGAAAUUUUAAGUUAAAAAUAAAGUAAAAAAUUUGUAAAA